rnacentral:lncRNA from 1 species
AGAAAAAACAACUAAAAAAAAUCUCUCCGUCUCUACGCCGUCAUAGUGCCCAAAAUGCUGACAUCAAUGGAUUCAUUCAAAGAUCUCCAAUGCCAGAGGCCGCCUCCCGAACCUCCGCCGCAAAGGUAUUUUCCCUAAUUCCAAAAUAAAGUUUUUUUCGAUUAGAUUGCAUGCAAAGUUGAUUUGAGUAUAAAAUUUAUUGUUCUAGAGAUGAUAGGUUUAAUUUUGAGAAACAAAUUUAAGAUAUUCUUUGUUCUCCAUGUUUGGUUUGUAUGGCAAAUUUAUGUUUUUCGUACUGCAUUGAUUUGCAUUGAUUCGGAUUUUUAUGAAUCAAACAUUUAUGUACACUAGACUCUAAUUCAUAUCCUUUUUUUUAAUCAAACAUUUAUAUACGUUAAGAUAUUUUGUAUUUAUCUCUUUGACUGAUAAAAAAAAAGAUCGUUGAUUCAGAUCUGCGUCGCAUUAAGCUUCUUUUUCUUUUUGCAACCUUUAAAACGAUGUUACUUUGUUUUGGGGGUGCUGAGAUUUAACUAGAUCUCGGUAUCUGAAUUUUGUAAUUUUUGUUUUUUUUUUACUGAAUGUUUGAUUAAUCCUAUAUUUAAUUGGAGGAUUAAGAUAUAUUACUAUUUUACCUUAUUUUCUACCGUAAGAUUAUUUUUGAAUAUAACCAUUUCGAUUUCUCCGUGUAACUAUGUAACCACAUGCCAAAUGAACAUUUCUUUGGUAGUUGUUGUUAUAAAGUUAGAUAUGAUCAAAGUUUACUAACUAUCUCUUUUCUUUUUAUUUUGUUGUUGACAGAGAGAUGUAGAUUCAUCAGAGAAGCAUUUCGAACAAUAUUCGUAACGUCAGCGGCAUAAUGGUAGGAAAUAUUUUCUAACAAAGUUAACUUUUUUCUCGCACAAUGUUUCUCAAAAUAUGUAUCACGAUAAACGAAGUUUAUAAAUUUCCUCUCAUGUUUCUUUUGUUAUUGACUAACCAAUGAAGUUUUACCGGAGGGUGGAGGCAGCAUGAACAUCUUAACAGUGUUCUCGUGAGCGACGCAACAAUGGUAAAACGAAUCUUCUUGAGCAACUCUCUUUGGAAAGUAUAAAUCGUGUUUGGUACAAGUUAUUUAUGAACAAAACUUAAUUUAUUUUUGAUGCACUAUUUUCCUUGUUUUUUACGAUGUAGAAGUCAAUUAUGAUUUGAGUUAAUGAACUUUCGAUUUUAUUUUUAUUUUAUUGUUGAAUGAUGAAAGAGGUGUACCAAAUAAGCAUAUCUAG